rnacentral:rRNA from 1 species
UACGUAGGGGACAAGCGUUGUCCGGAUUUACUGGGCGUAAAGAGCGCGCAGGCGGUCGGUCAAGUCGAGUGGGAAAGCCCCCGGCUCAACUGGGGAGGGUCACUCGAUACUGAUCGACUUGAAGGCAGGAGAGGGAAGCGGAAUUCCCGGUGUAGUGGUGAAAUGCGUAGAUAUCGGGAGGAACACCAGUGGCGAAGGCGGCUUCCUGGCCUGCUCUUGACGCUGAGGCGCGAAAGCUAGGGUAGCAAACGGG